CUAUGUUGCCCAGGCUGGAGUGCAGUGGCUAUUCACAGGCGCAAUCCCACUACUGAUCAGCACGGGAGUUUUGACCUGCUCCGUUUCCGACCUGGGCCGGUUCACCCCUCCUUAGGCAACCUGGUGGUCCCCCGCUCCCGGGAGGUCACCAUAUUGAUGCCGAACUUAGUGCGGACACCCGAUCGGCAUAGCGCACUACAGCCCAGAACUCCUGGGCUCAAGCGAUCCUCCCACCUCAGCCUCCC
rnacentral:SRP_RNA from 1 species